CCCUUAGAUGUUCUGGGCCGCACGCGUGCUACACUGAGUGGAUCAGCGGGUCAGGUUGCGCGAAAGUGUUUCCUAAUCUUUAAAUCCGCUCGUGAUGGGGAUUGACGGUUGCAAUUUUCCGUCAUGAACGAGGAAUACCUUGUAAGCGCGGGUCAUCAUCCCGCGCUGAAUACGUCCCUGCCCUUUAUACACACCGCCCGUCGCUCCUACCGAUUGAGUGGUCCGGUGAGGCUUUGGGAUCUGGGCGGAAAGAGCGUUUCGCUGUUUCUGCCCGGAAAACUCAGUCGAACCUUAUCAUUUAGAGGAAGGAGAAGUCGUAACA
rnacentral:rRNA from 1 species